rnacentral:tRNA from 4 species
CCGGCUGUAGCUCAGUGGAUAGAGCACUGGUCUUCGGAACCAGGUGUCGGGGGUUCGAAUCCCUCCAGCCGGGCCA